AAAUCUGUUCAGCAUUGAUACUAACACCCCUUUCCUUUUCUUUCAUAUUCCAGCACGCCUGUUAAGCAUUGCAGAAGGACUUGAGAGUCAUCCUUUCCUAAGAUAAAGCUGGAGUAUUUGGGGAUUUGGAAAAUCGAG
ensembl:misc_RNA Gm54430 predicted gene, 27957